GACGAACGCUGGCGGCGUGCUUAACACAUGCAAGUCGAACGGAAAGGCCCUGCUUUUGUGGGGUGCUCGAGUGGCGAACGGGUGAGUAACACGUGAGUAACCUGCCCUUGACUUUGGGAUAACUUCAGGAAACUGGGGCUAAUACCGGAUAGGAGCUCCUGCUGCAUGGUGGGGGUUGGAAAGUUUCGGCGGUUGGGGAUGGACUCGCGGCUUAUCAGCUUGUUGGUGGGGUAGUGGCUUACCAAGGCUUUGACGGGUAGCCGGCCUGAGAGGGUGACCGGCCACAUUGGGACUGAGAUACGGCCCAGACUCCUACGGGAGGCAGCAGUGGGGAAUAUUGCUCAAUGGGCGGAAGCCUGAUGCAACAACGCCGCGUGCGGGAUGACGGCCUUCGGGUUGUAAACCGCUUUCGCCUGUGACGAAGCGUGAGUGACGGUAAUGGGUAAAGAAGCACCGGCUAACUACGUG
rnacentral:rRNA from 1 species